CCCUAUGGGGUGCAGCAGGCGAGAAAACUUUGCAAUGUGCGAAAGCACGACAAGGUUAAUCCAAGUGAUUUCUGCUAAAGAAAUCUUUUGUUAGUUUUAAAAACACUGAUGAAUAAGGGGUGGGCAAGUUCUGGUGUCAGCCGCCGCGGUAAAACCAGCACCUCAAGUGGUCAGGAUGAUUAUUGGGCCUAAAGCAUCCGUAGCCGGAUCUAUAAGUUUUCGGUUAAAUCUAUGCGCUCAACGUAUAGGCUGCCGGAAAUACUGUGGAUCUAGGGAGUGGGAGAGGUAGACGGUACUCGGUAGGAAGAGGUAAAAUUCACUAAUCUAUCGAUGACCACCUGUGGCGAAGGCGGUCUACCAGAACACGUCCGACGGUGAGGGAUGAAAGCUGGGGGAGCAAACCGGAUUAGAUACCCGGGUAGUCCCAGCUGUAAACAAUGCAAGCUCAAUGAUGCAUCGGGUUGAACCCGGUGCAGUGUUGCUGGGAAGCCGUUAAGUUUGCCGCCUGGGAAGUACGUACGCAAGUAUGAAACUUAAAGGAAUUGGCGGGGGAGCACCACAAGGGGUGAAGCCUGCGGUUCAAUUGGAGUCAACGCCAGAAAUCUUACCCGGGGAGACAGCAGAAUGAAGGUCAAGCUGGAGACUUUACCAGACAAGCUGAGAAGAAGUGCAUGGCC
rnacentral:rRNA from 1 species